rnacentral:tRNA from 1 species
CGCAGGUAGGUUAUCAUCUAAGUGGCUGUAGUUUAGUGGUAAGAAUUCCACGUUGUGGCCGUGGAGACCUGGGCUCGAAUCCCAGCAGCCACACUUGUAAAUUUUUUGCCUUCUUUUUUUUCUUUUUAUAAGUACAAACAACAGGUAAUACGGCGCCGUUUGCUCGUCACUAACGCCAGGUUUAUAAACGUAGACCCAUCGCACUCGUUACCCUCCUCGACAUACAGUUACACAGAGCUUCG